GCGAGACCGAUAGCGAACAAGUACCGUGAGGGAAAGAUGAAAAGAACUUUGAAAAGAGAGUUAAAGAGUACCUGAAACUGCUGAAAGGGAACCGAAUCGUUUCCAGUGUCUUUGAUCCGUUGCAUAUUUCAUCUGUGAAUGUGUGCGUUCGGGCUAGUUUGCAGCGGUCUUUGAUUGCGCGGCUGGCUUGUUGUGCGUGCGUUUGUGGGUGCCCUGUGCAAUGGUGUGACGUCAAGGUGAGUUCGUAUGCUGCGGGAAAUGGCCGUUUAGGAGGUAGGUCUUGAGCUCCGCUCUUGGCUAUUAUAUCUAGGCGGACGAGUCGUCGCGGUUGGGACUGAGGUGCUUACAACGUGCUUUUGAGUGUGUGCGUGUCUCCGAUGCUGCUGUGUGCGGAUAGCUUGCUCUGCGUAUGCGGUUAGUGUUGGAUUGAUGCGUGCUGUAACUUGUUGCCGUUCGGGACCUUGACGAAAUGGAGCGAUCCGACCCGUCUUGAAACACGGACCAAGGAGUCUAACACGCAUGCAAGUGUUGGGGUGUGGAAACCCAAACGCGAAAUGAAAGUAAAGGGCGCCGUUGGGCGUCUGAGGUAGGAAAUUCUGGCUUUGUUCAGGAUGGCACUAUCGACCGAUCAUGAACCUUCGUGGUGAAAGAUUUGAGUUAGAGCAUGUGUGUUGGUACCCGAAAGAUGGUGAACUAUGCCUGAGUAGGGUGAAGCCAGGGGAAACUCUGGUGGAAGCUCGUAGCGAUUCUGACGUGCAAAUCGAUCGUCAAACUUGGGUAUAGGGGCGAAAGACUAAUCGAACCAUCUAGUAGCUGGUUCCCUCCGAAAUUUCCCUCAGGAUAGCAGCAACUUUUUUACGAUAGUUUUAUGAGGUAAAGCGAAUGAUUAGAGGCCUCGGGGAAGAAACUUCCUCGACCUAUUCUCAAACUUUAAA
rnacentral:rRNA from 1 species